AGACCACCAGCUAAGGUCCCAAAAUAUAUGUUAAGUGGAAAAGGAUGUGGCGUUGCCCAGACAACUAGGAUGUUGGCUUAGAAGCAGCCAUCAUUUAAAGAGUGCGUAAUAGCUCACUAGUCGAGUGACACUGCGCCGAAAAUGUACCGGGGCUAAACAUAUUACCGAAGCUGUGGAUUGUCCUUUGGACAAUGGUAGGAGAGCGUUCUAAGGGCGUUGAAGCAUGAUCGUAAGGACAUGUGGAGCGCUUAGAAGUGAGAAUGCCGGUGUGAGUAGCGAAAGACGGGUGAGAAUCCCGUCCACCGAUUGACUAAGGUUUCCAGAGGAAGGCUCGUCCGCUCUGGGUUAGUCGGGUCCUAAGCUGAGGCCGACAGGCGUAGGCGAUGGAUAACAGGUUGAUAUUCCUGUACCACCUAUAAUCGUUUUAAUCGAUGGGGGGACGCAGUAGGAUAGGCGAAGCGUGCGAUUGGAUUGCACGUCUAAGCAGUAAGGCUGAGUAUUAGGCAAAUCCGGUACUCGUUAAGGCUGAGCUGUGAUGGGGAGAAGACAUUGUGUCUUCGAGUCGUUGAUUUCACACUGCCGAGAAAAGCCUCUAGAUAGAAAAUAGGUGCCCGUACCGCAAACCGACACAGGUAGUCAAGAUGAGAAUUCUAAGGUGAGCGAGCGAACUCUCGUUAAGGAACUCGGCAAAAUGACCCCGUAACUUCGGGAGAAGGGGUGCUCUUUAGGGUUAACGCCCAGAAGAGCCGCAGUGAAUAGGCCCAAGCGACUGUUUAUCA
rnacentral:rRNA from 1 species